CCAAUAGCGUAUAUUAAAGUUGUUGCAGUUAAAAAGCUCGUAGUUGAAUUUCGGGAUCAAAUAAUCGGUCGUGCCUCCGGUACGUACUGGUUUUAUUGGUUCCUCCCUUCUGACGAACCAUGAUGUCAUUAAUUUGAUGUGGUGGAGAAUCAGGACUGUUACCUUGAAAAAAUUAGAGUGUUUAAAGCAGGCUAACGCUUGAAUACAUUAGCAUGGAAUAAUGAAAUAGGACGUUCGACCCUAUUUUGUUGGUUUCUAGGAUCGACGUAAUGAUUAAUAGGGAUAGUUGGGGGCAUUAGUAUUCAAUUGUCAGAGGUGAAAUUCUUGGAUUUAUUGAAGACUAACUACUGCGAAAGCAUUUGCCAAGGAUGUUUUCAUUAAUCAAGAACGAAAGUUAGGGGAUCGAAGACGAUCAGAUACCGUCGUAGUCUUAACCAUAAACUAUGCCGACUAGGGAUCGGAUGAUGUUAAUUUUUUAAUGACUCAUUCGGCGCCUUAC
rnacentral:rRNA from 1 species